GUGAAAUUGAACUCGCUGUGAAGAUGCAGUGUACCCGCGGCAAGACGGAAAGACCCCGUGAACCUUUACUAUAGCUUGACACUGAACAUUGAGCCUUGAUGUGUAGGAUAGGUGGGAGGCUUUGAAGCGUGGACGCCAGUCUGCGUGGAGCCGACCUUGAAAUACCACCCUUUAAUGUUUGAUGUUCUAACGUGGACCCGUGAUCCGGGUUGCGGACAGUGUCUGGUGGGUAGUUUGACUGGGGCGGUCUCCUCCUAAAGAGUAACGGAGGAGCACGAAGGUUGGCUAAUCCUGGUCGGACAUCAGGAGGUUAGUGCAAUGGCAUAAGC
rnacentral:rRNA from 4 species